CAAUAGCGUAUAUUAUUGAUGUUGCAGUUGAAACGUUCGUAGUCGAAUCUUAUCUGCCAAAGCAUUGUGUCAUUUAUGAUGACAUAAUGCUCUCGGCGGAGAUUGUACAAGCAUGUCUGACCUUGUAUCUUACUUUGAGUGAAUCGGCGUGUUCCACGCAGGCAUGUGCCUUGAACGAUUUACCAUAGCAUAAUCAGAGUAUGGAACUGCUUCCUUGUUUGUUCGGAAGCUCUUUCGAUACUGAUAGGAACGGUUGAGGGCAUUCGUAUUCGACUGCUAGAGGUGAAAUUCUUUGAUUAGUCGAGGACGAACUAUUGCGAAAGCAUCUGCCAAGGACGUUUNCUUUGA
rnacentral:rRNA from 1 species